rnacentral:rRNA from 1 species
AACGAACGCUGGCGGCGUGGAUAAGACAUGCAAGUCGAACGGGACUUUUUCUGGUAGCAAUACCGGAAAAAGUCUAGUGGCGAACGGGUGCGUAACACGUGGACAAUCUGCCUUAAAGUGGGGGAUAGCUCGGCGAAAGCCGAAUUAAUACCGCAUGUGAUGAGGGAAGACAUCUUUCCGAAAUCAAAGCCGGGGCAACCUGGCGUCUUUUUGAGGAGUCCGCGGCCUAUCAGCNGUUGGUGAGGUAACGGCUCACCAAGGCUAUGACGGGUAGCUGGUCUGAGAGGACGACCAGUCACACUGGAACUGAGACA